ACAACAUUCGGACCGUCGGUCUACCGAGCAAUAUCACCCGCUCGGUGGAAGAUCUUCCCUUUGUCGU
rfam:Bombyx mori DNA, contig: Bm_scaf1_contig172, strain: p50T/Dazao, build 2, whole genome shotgun sequence.